GAUGAAGAACGCAGCGAAAUGCGAUAAGUAAUGUGAAUUGCAGAAUUCAGUGAAUCAUCGAAUCUUUGAGCGCACAUUGCGCCCGUCAGUAUUCUGGCGGGCAUGCCUGUUCGAGCGUCAUUACGCCCCUCAAGUCCCCUGUGGACUUGGUGUUGGGGAUCGGCGAGGCUGGUUUUCCAGCACAGCCGUCCCUUAAAUUAAUUGGCGGUCUCGCCGUGGCCCUCCUCUGCGCAGUAGUAAAACACUCGCAACAGGAGCCCGGCGCGGUCCACUGCCGUAAAACCCCCCAACUUUUUAUAGUUGACCUCGAAUCAGGUAGGACUACCCGCUGAACUUAAGCAUAUCAAUAAGCGGAGGA
rnacentral:misc_RNA from 1 species